rnacentral:rRNA from 1 species
AUGAACGCUAGCUACAGGCUUAACACAUGCAAGUCGAGGGGCAGCAUUUUAGUUUGCUUGCAAACUGAAGAUGGCGACCGGCGCACGGGUGAGUAACACGUAUCCAACCUGCCGAUAACUCCGGGAUAGCCUUUCGAAAGAAAGAUUAAUACCGGAUAGCAUACGAAUAUCGCAUGAUAUUUUUAUUAAAGAAUUUCGGUUAUCGAUGGGGAUGCGUUCCAUUAGUUUGUUGGCGGGGUAACGGCCCACCAAGACUACGAUGGAUAGGGGUUCUGAGAGGAAGGUCCCCCACAUUGGAACUGAGACACGGUCCAAACUCCUACGGGAGGCAGCAGUGAGGAAUAUUGGUCAAUGGGCGCGAGCCUGAACCAGCCAAGUAGCGUGAAGGAUGAAGGCUCUAUGGGUCGUAAACUUCUUUUAUAUGGGAAUAAAGUUUUCCACGUGUGGAAUUUUGUAUGUACCAUAUGAAUAAGGAUCGGCUAACUCCGUGCCAGCAGCCGCGGUAAUACGGAGGAUCCGAGCGUUAUCCGGAUUUAUUGGGUUUAAAGGGAGCGUAGGUGGAUUGUUAAGUCAGUUGUGAAAGUUUGCGGCUCAACCGUAAAAUUGCAGUUGAAACUGGCAGUCUUGAGUACAGUAGAGGUGGGCGGAAUUCGUGGUGUAGCGGUGAAAUGCUUAGAUAUCACGAAGAACUCCGAUUGCGAAGGCAGCUCACUAGACUGUCACUGACACUGAUGCUCGAAAGUGUGGGUAUCAAACAGGAUUAGAUACCCUGGUAGUCCACACAGUAAACGAUGAAUACUCGCUGUUUGCGAUAUACAGUAAGCGGCCAAGCGAAAGCAUUAAGUAUUCCACCUGGGGAGUACGCCGGCAACGGUGAAACUCAAAGGAAUUGACGGGGGCCCGCACAAGCGGAGGAACAUGUGGUUCAAUUCGAUGAUACGCGAGGAACCUUACCCGGGCUUAAAUUGCAACAGAAUAUAUUGGAAACAGUAUAGCCGUAAGGCUGUUGUGAAGGUGCUGCAUGGUUGUCGUCAGCUCGUGCCGUGAGGUGUCGGCUUAAGUGCCAUAACGAGCGCAACCCUUAUCUUUAGUUACUAACAGGUCAUGCUGAGGACUCUAGAGAGACUGCCGUCGUAAGAUGUGAGGAAGGUGGGGAUGACGUCAAAUCAGCACGGCCCUUACGUCCGGGGCUACACACGUGUUACAAUGGGGGGUACAGAAGGCGGCUACCUGGUGACAGGAUGCUAAUCCCAAAAACCUCUCUCAGUUCGGAUCGAAGUCUGCAACCCGACUUCGUGAAGCUGGAUUCGCUAGUAAUCGCGCAUCAGCCAUGGCGCGGUGAAUACGUUCCCGGGCCUUGUACACACCGCCCGUCAAGCCAUGAAAGCCGGGGGUACCUGAAGUACGUAACCGCAAGGAGCGUCCUAGGGUAAAACUGGUAAUUGGGGCU